UACGAAGGGGGCUAGCGUUGCUCGGAAUCACUGGGCGUAAAGGGUGCGUAGGCGGAUUUCUAAGUCAGGGGUGAAAGCCUGAGGCUCAACCUCAGAAUUGCCUUUGAUACUGGAAGUCUUGAGACCGGAAGAGGUAAGUGGAACUGCGAGUGUAGAGGUGAAAUUCGUAGAUAUUCGCAAGAACACCAGUGGCGAAGGCGGCUUACUGGUCCGGUUCUGACGCUGAGGCACGAAAGCGUGGGGAGCGAUCCGG
rnacentral:rRNA from 1 species